CAUCCAGCCGAGAGCAUGUCUUCUGUUGCUUUGGGCCAUGUCCGGAUCAGCCCAAUACAAUAAUCUUUCUUUCUCCCAACUCCUUGCUGUCCAUAUACCCCUCUCUGUCACAUGAGGAUGCAGCCUCUCUCUCAUUGAAAUACCCCUCCUUUUUCUCUUCAUGUAGGGAUUAUGGAAGCAUCUAAUGCCUUCUCAUCAAAUUUUCUCUUCCUCUUCAAUUACAAGCAUGCAUGUAACGACUACAACAGUAUAUCAUUCAUCUCUCUUUCACGUGAAUAAGUCUCUUCUCCCCCUCAUGUAAAUAACAGCAGUAUUUAAUCCAUUGUUCCACGUUCUUUUUAUUCCCCUCAUCAAUAUAUGUCAUCUCUCCCUUUCUAAGUGUGUGAGUAAGAGCACAAAAAAUUGUCAACCAUCAAUGACAUGGCAGCCACACCGUCCUGCUGCCCACGCCCACUUCUCCCCAUGCAAAAGCAUAUGCACAUAUUCUUUCCUCUCUUAAUUACUAGACACACCUCUCUUAUAUGUGCUAUUUUACUCCAACAAUUUCUCUCUUCCACUUUAUUCACAUACAUGCAGCAGCUAGAAAUAUCUUCCUAACCUCAAUUCUACUCGCUUAAUUUUCCUUGGAAAUGCCUCUAUUCUAUACUCUUUUAUGUGUGGUCCUUCAUCAUCUUUAAAUAUAUGCAUGCACAAGACCGUAGUUAUAUUUCUUCGUUCUUUUCCUCAUGCAAAAUCAGAUGACAUCUCCUCUCUACCUCAUCCAAAAAAAAUAUAGCAUCCAAUGCUCACUCUCUUAAUUCCUUGGUCACACCUCCUUUUCAUUUUCUCUGAUGUCUGCUCCUUCACUCCAUUCCAAUCAACUGCAUGCACAUACAACAGCAGCCCCUCUCCUAUUCCUGUGGCACAUUCUCCUCUUACUCUCAUGCAAAACAGCAGGAUGUAAUGCCUCAUCAAUCUCUUCCAUGCUCUUCAAUAGCAUGCACAUCAAUAUCUCUUCUCCCCUCUCUCACUGAACAGAUCACCACCCCAUCAUAUGGUGCCUCCUCUCUCCCUCAUCUGAAAUAACAACAGCCUUCCUCCUUAAUUCCCUUCGUUACACCUCUCUUUCGUCCUCUGUUAUGUCUACUCCUUUACACCAAUGCAUGCAUGCACAUAACUACAAGAAAUAUCUCCUUUAUCCUCUCUUUUCUCACGCAAAAAAACCAGCAGCUCACUCUUCUUCAAUUCCUUUUUGAUGGCACCCAUUUUUACUCCACUUUAUAUCUCUUUCAAUUGCAUGGAUCCAUGCACAAAUUAAAAGUCAUAUCUCCUCCUCCUCUAUUUCUCACGCAGCAGCCAUAUCCUCUCAUUUCCUUCCUCUUACAGCCAGCAGCAACACCCCUCUUCAAAUCUCUCUUGAUAGCAAUUAUUUUUCACUCUCUUUUAUUUCACUUCAAUGACAUGGACACAUGCAGCUGCAGCAGCUAUAAAUCCCCCCUCAUCUCCUCUCUCCCUCACGCACACAGCAGAUGGGCAGCCCCUCUCACGCCACCUCUUCCACCUGCUGUUGCUCCACAAAGACAGCAGCCAACACCUCCUCUCCUCUUGCUCCAUGCAGAUCAGAUGCAUUCCCUCCCCACCUCCCCUCUUCUUCUCCUUCUCUAUCUGCAAUGGACGCCCCAACUGCUCCACUCCACCUCCAUGGAUGUCCUCCUCUUCCUCCUUCCCUUUUCUCUCCAUGAAAAUGCAGCCCCCGUGCAACAGCAAUUCCUUUUUGCCAUUGCAAUUCCAGCCCGAACAAAUGGCUUGUGAUUUGGACCGGCUACCGACCUCAUCUACUGCAGGCGUCCGCAAAUCGAUCCCUCGCUGCUGCAUUUUGUUUCCCGCCGCACCCCUGAUCCCAAAGCCUAAACAUGCCGAGGAUGUUGUUGCCAUUCCCCUCUGGACCGAGCAUGUGGGCUGCAACUCAUGGUGAGGUCGACCCUGCACUUUCACUCGUUGAUCUUGCUGCUCUUGUACAUCCUAUCCAUCUCUAUGAUCUAUCAUAUGGUAUAGAUUAUCACUAAAGUGGAAUUGGAGAUGUCCUGCUGAUCGCAGUCCCGAUCGCCACCACAUCAUCGAUGAAGGGUACCAUCAAAUUCACCUCCAACUACUGCUAACCCCGAUGUGAGGACCCCCAUCAUGAUCUCCAUUUUGUAUACAUGUUUCUUGCUGUAAAUUAUGGACCAUCAUUCUUGUAAGAUCAUGUUUUGGCGAGAUUUGCUAGUGAUACUCUAUGUUGUCCCUCCGUCCAAAAAUGCUGCUGCCGGUUACCGUUCGCAUUCCUAGUGAUCCAUGCCUCUGGACACCAAACCCUUUGAUCA